UGAGGAAUAUUGGACAAUGGAUGGAAAUCUGAUCCAGCCAUGCCGCGUGCAGGAAGGCGGUCCUAUGGAUUGUAAACUGCUUUUGUACGGGAGCAAUAAUUUCUACGGGAUAGGGAGAUGAGAGUACCGUACGAAUCAGCAUCGGCUAACUCCGUGCCAGCAGCCGCGGUAAUACGGAGGAUGCGAGCGUUAUCCGGAUUUAUUGGGUUUAAAGGGUGCGUAGGCUGUAAUUUAAGUCAGUGGUGAAAUGUACGGGCUUAACCGGUGAUAUGCCAUUGAUACUGGAUUGCUGGAAUACGGAUGCGGUAUGCGGAAUGUGUAGUGUAGCGGUGAAAUGCAUAGAUAUUACACAGAACACCGAUUGCGAAGGCAGCAUACCAAGGCGGGAUUGACGCUGAAG
rnacentral:rRNA from 1 species